rnacentral:misc_RNA from 1 species
GAUGAAGAACGCAGUGAAAUGCGAUACUUGGUGUGAAUUGCAGAAUCCCGUGAACCAUCGAGUCUUUGAACGCAAGUUGCGCCCGAAGCCAUUAGGCCGAGGGCACGCCUGCCUGGGCGUCACACGUCGUUGCCCCCCCAUCUACUCCUUCGGGAUUGCGGGGGGCGGAUGAUGGCCUCCCGUGCGCCUCGUCGCGCGGUUGGCCUAAAUGCCAAGUCCUCGGCGACGCACGCCACGACAAUCGGUGGUUGCGAAACCUCGGUUGCCUGUCGUGUGCGGUCGUCGCGCAUCGAGGGCUCGAAAAAAUUGCCGGGCUUCGGCUCGACUUUCAACGCGACCCCAGGUCAGGCGGGGUUACCCGCUGAAUUUAAGCAUAUCAAUAAGCGGAGGA